CGACGCUGGCUCCCUCGCCAUUUUUGACGCAAACGGCUUUGUCCAUCUUACCACGCUCUCCGGCCACUGCAACGGUGGUAUCAACGACCUCGCCUCUACAACUGUCCGGUGAGCGCGACCGAUAAAAUUGAAGAUGUUUGUUCAGGCUUUGAAGGAUGCUUGAAUAGAGGAGUUCUCUUUGUCAGCUUAGCGAGGAAGCAAGUGGGAGCAAUGAUUCUUGUCGGUCACAGGUGAUUAUGUUUCUUAAAUUAAUUUUCUUGGAUUGUUGUUAUAGGGGCUUCAACUGAAAGUAAGUUUGAUGCUUAAAAAAUUAUACGAUUUUGAAACAACUAUAACUUCCAUCUGAAGUAAUAUUUUAAGCUCAAUAAACC